rnacentral:snoRNA from 1 species
GGUGAUGAUGAGCCCUGGUGAUUCUUGAGUGUCUUGCUGAGGCCAUCACUGCAGUAUCUGAUC